UACGUAGGGGGCAAGCGUUGUCCGGAUUUAUUGGGCGUAAAGCGCGUGUAGGCGGCCAGGUAGGUCGGUUGUGAAAAUUGGAGGCUCAACCUCCAGACGUCGAUCGAAACCAUCUGGCUAGAGUCCGGAAGAGGCGAGUGGAACUCCUGGUGUAGCGGUGGAAUGCGCAGAUAUCAGGAAGAACACCAACGGCGAAGGCAGCUCGCUGGGACGGAACUGACGCUAAGGCGCGAAAAGCGUGGGGAGCGAACAGG
rnacentral:rRNA from 1 species